rnacentral:pre_miRNA from 1 species
CAUGGGCUUUUCGAGGAUAUUCGCUAUGUUGCAUGCGAAUACCUCGCCUAGUCUAAGG